rnacentral:rRNA from 1 species
CGAAUGGCUCAUAUGGGCAGCCUGGGAGUCAGAAUGCGAGUGAUAAGACCCGUAUUCAAGAGGGAAACAGCCCAGACCGCCGGCUAAGGUCCCAAAUGCUGUGCUAAGUGGAGAAGGAUGUAGGACUUCGAAAACAACCAGGAUGUUGGCUCAGAAGCAGCCACCAUUAAAAGAGUGCGUAAUAGCUCACUGGUCGAGAGGCCCUGCGCCGAAAAUAUCCGGGGCUAAAGCACAGAACCGAAGCCGCGGCAGGGUGUACUAAGGUACACACUGGGUAGGGGAGCGUUCUUAUCUGGACGAAGGCAGACCGGAAGGACUGCUGGACGGGUAAGAAGUGAGAAUGCCGGUAUGAGUAGCGAAACGACAGGUGAGAAUCCUGUCCACCGAAAGCCUAAGGUAUCCCGGGCAACGCUCGUCGUCCCGGGGUAAGUCGGGACCUAAGCCGAGGCGAAAAGCAUAGGCGAUGGACAACUGGCGAAAAUUCCAGUACCGGGCGACUUCGUUUGAGGAUGGAGUGACGCAGGAAGGAAGCUGAGCGCGCGAAUGGUUGGGCGCGUCGAAGGCGGUAGGCUUGUAUGGAGGCAAAUCCCCAUACUAUAAGGCCGAGAACCGAUAGAUAGGAAAGACUACGGUCAAUCUGAAUUCAGCUGCACUACACUGCCAAGAAAAGCUUCUAACGAGAAGACGUCCGCCCGUACCAAAACCGACACAGGUAGGCGGGGAGAGAAUCCUAAGGUGCGCGGGAAAACCCUCGUUAAGGAACUCGGCAAAAUGCAUCCGUAACUUCGGGAAAAGGAUGGCCGUUGAUGGUGAAGACAUUUACUGUUGGAGCUGUUGGCGGCGGCAGAAAAGAGGCCCAAGCGACUGUUUACCACAAACACAGGUGCCUGCGAAAGCGCAAGCUGAAGUAUAGGUGCUGACGCCUGCCCGGUGCAGGAAGGUUAAGGAGAGUUGUUAGUCCUUGAGAUGAAGCAGCGAACUGAAGCCCCUGUAAACGGCGGCCGUAACUAUAACGGUCCUAAGGUAGCGAAAUUCCUUGUCGGGUAAGUUCCGACCCGCACGAAAGGCGUAACGAUUUGGGCACUGUCUCAACGAGGGACCCGGUGAAAUUGAAAUACCUGUGAAGAUGCAGGUUACCCGCGACUGGACAGAAAGACCCCAUGGAGCUUUACUGCAGCUUGGCAUUGGUCUUUGGCAUAUAACGUACAGGAUAGCCGGGAGACUGGGAGGAUAGAUCGCUAGAUCUAUCGGAGUCACCGUUGGGAUACCGGCCUUUAUAUGCUAAGGAUCUAACCGGAACAUUAACAGUGUUCGGGACAGUACCAGGCGGGCAGUUUGACUGGGGCGGUCGCCUCCGAAAGAGCAACGGAGGCGUCCAAAGGUUCCCUCAGCGCGGACAGAAAUCGCGCGAAGAGCAUAAAGGCAGAAGGGAGCUUGACUGCGAGACUGACGGGUCGAGCAGGUACGAAAGUAGGGCUUAGUGAUCCGGUGGAAAGAGAGUGGAAUUGCCAUCGCUCAACGGAUAAAAGCUACCCUGGGGAUAACAGGC